CUAUUGACUUGAUCGAAUUGAGCCUUGGUAUGGAAACCUACCAAGUGAUAGCUUCCAAAUCCAAGGAACCCUGGGAUAUUUUGAAUGGGUAAUCCUGAGACAAAUCCGGUUCAUGGAGACAAUAGCUUCUUCUUUUAUUCUCCUAAGAUAGGAAGGGGAUAGGUGCAGAGACUCAAUGGAAGCUAUUCUAACAAAUGAAUCUCAUUUGGUCCAAUAUUGUAUUUAUAGAACACUCUAUUUACACCUAAAAAGUGGGAAUGUGAUAUAACAUCAG
rnacentral:ncRNA from 1 species